UUUUCUGAUGAGACACAUCCUAAUUGUUUACUUAUUUCUGGUACCUCUUGUGUCAGAGGCGCAUCGACUUCUGUUGGUGUUGCCUCGAUGAUCGAAACGGACUUCUGAUU
rnacentral:snoRNA from 1 species